CCGCAGUGCAGCACCGAGCGCGGCCGGGGUUGUCACCACCGGGGCCAGCCCGACCCCUGCCCGGUGCGCUCAGCCCCGGGACCAGCGGCCGCUGUCAGCGCUAAACAAAGUCAUCAUCAGCCCCAACACCCAAAUCUGGCCCGUGCCGUGGUUUCAUUUUCUUGUUGUUUUUAUUAAUCUCCAAAGCUGCUAAUGAGCCAGCAAAAUCCGCGCAGUUUCCGCAACGAGCACUUGCCCAAAACUUGUAACAGUCUUUACCUUUCAAGUUCAUCUUCCGUUUCUUUCUGUAAAACCUGAACUUUAAUUCUUCACGGGAAAGGAAAAGCUGGAAUAAAUAUUACAAAAGUUUCCCUGCAAUUGAAAUUCUGCCCCUUGCAAUGUUGUGCCACAGCAGUGCCCUUGCUCCCCCCUCAAAGCCGAGGGAAGAAAACACUUUUCAUUCAGCAUUUUCAGAAACCUUGGUAAAUAAAUUCCUUGACAUGAAGUUUUAGGAUUGCACCAAACUUUUUAACAAUAUAACUUGAGAUGCAUCCAACACUUUUAAUAGAAUAUCUGUUCUCUGAUUAUAUAAUAAAACAGAACAAAAGUCAUCAAUUUGCACUACAGAACUUGGGUUGCUGUGGAAACCUUCAUUAUUUAUUUUUUUAACACGUGCAACUACUGUUUCCCCACCGAGCAGGGCCAGCUUUCUGUUUGGGUUUUUGUUUGGGUUUGGGAUGCUGGGUUUUGCUUUCCUGUGUGGAGUGCAAACAGUAAGUGGCCAAGAAUGAAACGUGCUUGUACAUUAUUCAUUUAGAAAAACAAUCUUUUCAAUCCUACCUUAAUUCAUAUUCACAUUUUGGCAUUUAUAUUUACAAUAGCUUCAUUCCUUCCCUUCCCGAGGCACUCCCACAGCAUGCAGAAAUAGCUUUUUGAAGGGACAAAGCAUGACAAAGUCAUUGAGUUGCAUCUGUUUGAGAUAGGCUGCUGCUGGGUUUGAGAAACUGGUAUUGUUUUUUUAUCUCUAUAUAUGUAAAUAAUAAAUACCUUUUCAUCUCUUCCUAGUACUUUGGGAGCAGAAAACCUCUGUAGUGACAGGAAUUGGUUAAUUCUUCCAGGCUCUUCAUCGCACAGCCUCAGCACUUCACGGAUUCUUCUUGCUGCCAAGCUGACCAGUACUUAAACUGAUACUUUUCCUGCUUAAGAAAAAACACAGCAGAUUUUUUUUCCAAAAUACAACCACCUCUAAGUUGACUCUUCCCCUUAAAGUAAAUAUGGACUGAAAGUGAACUUGGGAAGAUCAAGGGAACUGCACAAUCCUUUCAAAUGCUCUGCAAGGGACAAUGGAAGGUCAGAUAGCAGAAAGCAGAGAGUCUUAUACCUUUCUGCAAGCAGAUCUUUCUCAGUUGUCCCAGCCCUAAGGUAUCAUGGAAGGUAUCACCCUCUUGCCCUCUCUUUCAGGGACAACUGAACCUUGGUUCAUAGAGAACCACCUAACACACCUCCAGGGAAUAGCAGCUGAGGACUGAGGAGUUCUGGAUCCUUAUUUGCACACAGCGAUGAUGUGGAAAAAGGAAAAGUGACAGAUGUUUUCAUCCUGGACUGGCUGCAAGGGCAGGGCAGGGACGCCUUCUCCUUGCCGUGCUUUCACUUACACUCCACUGCCCCGUCCCACGUUACUCACAGCAGCCUCAGGACCAAAUUAAAGCUCCCGCGGUGUCAGUUCUCAGAAGAGUCUCCCCUCAUCCCGCUGGAUGCAGCAGAUGGAGCAGCGCGCUCCGCUCCCGGCUCCCAGCCCGCUGUCCCUGGUGCUGGAGCCGCUCCCUUCGCCGCCGCUCCCGCUCCCAGCGGGGACCCGCUGGAUCCCGGCGCUCCAAGCCCUCCCCUGGCAUGAAGGGCCCUUCCAGCCAAC